GAAGAGAAAAUUUAAACCAUAAUGAAUCUUAUUGGGUUGAACAGAGUGUGAUAGCUGAUGACAAGUCCGUAGCUGCAAAUGUGAUAGACACAUUUGCUUCAAAAUUUGACAUGAGAAACUUAAAAAAUUCACUUGUUCUUGAAAGCACUUUUGCAGCUACGGACUUGUCAUUGGCUAUCAAACUCUCUUCAAGCCAAUAAGAUUCAUUAUGAUUUGAAUUUUCCCUUCAUUUGUGGCUUUGCAAUACACAAAACAAUGUUUAAAUGACAGGAGAGAAAGAGAAAUUUGGUUUUAUGGAGACUCAGCUACUAUGGAGAAAGAGAAAGAGAGAUCCGUCGGACACACAUGUGAGGAGACUCGGCUACUAUGGAGAAAGAGAAAGAUGCUGCAAGCGGAUCACCGGCGGUCAACAAGACUCCCAAAUCGUUUGCUAAGCUCUUCAAUGGCCUCUUGAUCACCCGUUAACAAUCAAGAUGCUUCUUUUUGCUAUAUCGGUGAAUUGCCUUGACCCAGCUUUGAUUUUAGCUUGUGCAAAGGACUUUAGAUAGCCUUUCGUCAACCCAUUGUCAUCUGAUGGUAAAACGGAAGCGAAUGAUGCUAAAUCUCAGCUGCUGGCAUCAUUAUAUGGCGGUCAUGGUGAUCAAUUGGCAAUAAUAGCAGCUUUUGAGUGAUGGAAAAACACCAAACAAAUAGCUGAUGAUAGCAAUUGGCAUAUCUGUAAUCUGUUGUAAGUUCAGUUUAUAUACUUAUUCCCUGGCGCACACUAGCUCUUAUUGGGCCAGAAAAGGAGAGAUACAAUUUGUAUUGCACUUGCUGAUGGCACCUGUGAAGAACCAAAGAUUAGGAUGAGUAAGGUUGUCAGGUUAAAUUUGAGGGUUAGACUUGGCGAUGUGGUUUCGUUGCAUCAGUAUGGGAAGUGCGUUCACAUCCUUCCGAUUGACGAUACGAUUGAAGGAGUUGCUGGGAAUCUGUUUGAUGCUUACUUGAAACCGUACUUUUUGGAAUUGUACCGCUCGGUGGGUGACUACUUUUUGGUAAGGGGAGGAAUGAGAAGCGUUGAGUUUAAAGUUAUCGAGACUGAUCCUGCUGAGCACCGUGUGGUUGCACCCGAUACCGAGAUAUUCUGUGAGGGUGAGCCUGUGAGAAGGGAAGAUGAGGACCGGUUAGACAAGAUUGGUUAUGAUGAUGUUGGUGGUGUUCGCAAACAGAUGGCGCAAAAUCCGUGAGUUAGUCAAACUCCCAUUAAGGCAUCCGCAGAUUUUCAAGUCUAUUGGUGUUAAACCACCAAAAGGUAUUCUGCUUUACGGGCCUCCCGGGUCUGGAAAGACUCUGAUUGCCCAUGCUGUUGCUAAUGAAAGAGGUGCUUUCUUUUUCUGCAUUAACGGGCCAGAGAUCAUGUCGAAAAUGGCUGGAGAGAGUGAGCAAUUUAAGGAAAGCGUUUGAAGAAGCCGAGAAAAACGCACCAUCGAUCAUCUUUAUUGAUGAGCUUGAUUCAAUUGCACCAAACCGGGAAAAAACACAUGGUGAAGUUGAACGAAGGAUUGUUUCCCAGUUGUUGACUUUAAUGGAUGGGCUGAAGUCCCGGGCACAUGUAAUUGUUAUGGGUGCAACCAACCACCUUAACAGUAUCGAUCCUGCAUUGAGACGGUUCGGUAGAUUCGAUCGUGAAAUUGACAUUGGCGUGCCCGAUGAAGUUGGCCGUCUUGAGGUUCUUAGAAUUCAUACUAAGAACAUGAAGCUAGCCGAUGAUGUGGAUUUGGAGAAGGUUGCAAAGGAUACACAUGGCCUUUCGGGUCGUCAUUAUGACAUGUUUUUAGAUUAUCUGGCACUUUUUAUAGCUUAAGUAAAUUACAAGUUUUGUCC